GACGCCUUUCGGCUCUUUCUCGCUUCUUCUUCCCUCUUUCGUCUCUCUUCCUUGGUACUUGUGUUUGGUUUCACUCCUUCCAUGCCUUCUUCGAAGGCAUCAGAUACUCCGGUUGGACCUGUCACGCGUCGCUGCCACUUCGCUGAUCCCAGACACCCCCCAACCUGACCGUGCGUGGAGGUGAAACGUGCGUUGGAGGAACCUGUGAACGGAGGAGGCUGACCUGAACAGUUUCUCCAAGGAGCCCUGGUUCCUUUCAGUGCACAGUGAUGCUUCGAAAUCAAAUCUGCGUGGAGAAACCUUUCACUUUAAAUGACUGUGGAGCCUUGGCUGUCCCAUGGCGCUGGACGUUUUUAAUUACCGGGGAAUGAGAUUGUGCUAAAGGGAGUGAGAAAACCUGUGUUUUCUGAGGUGGAUGAGAACCUGCCCUGACUCAUGCCUGGCCCUGGCAGUUGAGUGACAUCUCCAGCCUCAGGUGUGCUCACCUGCAUGGUGGGACGAGCUGACCCACCUCAGGGGGCUCUGAUGAGGAGGAAGUAAGAGUCUCCGUGUCAUGUUCACUCUAACGGAUGUUCCCCACACAGGGAAUGUGGGGAUAAUUGUCAUCUCUGAAGCCCAGAGAGAGACUCGCCCUUCUGGGGGACGGGAGCGGUACCCGGAGGAUGGAGGGUUCAGAUGGGCAGACAGGAGCGGUCCAGCAGCGACCAGAGGUCGACCCUGUGCCCGCGGAUGCACACACGGAGGGACGGUGCCCGUGAGACAGCAUGCCAGGCAUUUGGAUGUACAGGCUGUUGGUAAUAGGAGCCCAAACCUACUGUGUGCAGGGAUGGGACACAGACCCAGCAUCGGAGAUGCGAUGAUUGCCCGAGAAUGGGAGUCGUGGCCGCACGACCGCGUGGGGCCGUGGACCACGGGGAAGAAACACUUCGGGGAAGGACACGCUCUGAACCUACCUACCCCCUCCCCGACCAUGCGCCCUGGGCUUCUGAGCUCUGGGAAGGUGUGGGAGAAAGAGCAAGGCCACAGGGGAGGGCAUCUGGCUGGGGACAAGAGGUUUGGGUCGCUUCUGCAGAGAUUUGGGGGUGGUUUGUCACUUGGCACUAUUGCGGCGAAAGCGCGCUCACGUGUGGCGUUGCCGCAGAAAGGUGCCUGGGACUUAGCGGCGAAGAAACAAACGCCACUGUUUGGAUGGUUGACCUAACGUGCCAACUCGUCACCCUGAAGCGAUGCCCAGGGGGCCGGGAGAACCUGAUCUCUGAGAGGGUCUCUAGGGUGUUUCCAGAAGAGAGGAGCAUUUGAAUGGUCGAGUCCAGGGGGCCCCCUCCCCAGUGUGGGUGGCCGUCACCCAGUCCAUUGGUGGCCCGAACAGAACGACAGGUGGAGGAGACAUCCAUCUUCUCCUGCCGUGGGGACCUCAGCGGCUUUCCUGGUCCUCGGGCUCGCACGCGGCACCUGCUGGGGCUUCUCGGCCUCCAUAGCCACUGAGCCGGCUCCUGCAAUCGUCUCCUCUCAUCUGUGUCUGUAUCUGUUUCUUCGGCUUCUCUGCUGGGUUUCUCUGAAGAACACUGACUAAGACGUUAUUUUGGAAAAAAAUAAUAGGGCAUGGAUGCCAGACUCGGCUUUCUCUACACAUGUCAAUUUCUCUCUCUCUCUCUUUUUUUUUUUUAAACAAACCCUUUUAAAAAAUG
rnacentral:lncRNA from 9 species